rnacentral:lncRNA from 1 species
GAGAGAUUUUUUUUUUUAAUUAGAAUUUAAAUUUUUAAAAUUUAAAAUUUAUAAUCUCAAAAUUAAAAUUUAUAAUUUAAAAUUAUAAACUUUAAAGUUUAAGUUUUAAAUUUGAUAUUUUUUAUUUUUAAAUUUUAAAUUUGAUAUUUUGUAUCUUUCAAAAUUUAAAUUUGAUCUUAAAUUUAAAUUUAAAAAUUAAAAUUUUAAAUUUUAAUUUCAAAUUUUAAAAUUUAAAAUUUAAAAUUUAAAUUCAAAUAUAAUGAGAAGGGUAAUAUUAUUAUUUUUUAUUUAUAACUAUCAACUAUUCUUCUUAUUCCAUUUUACUUAUCCAAACGUUAUGUUUCUUAUUUCCGGGAACAACCAAAUUUUCAUCCAAACACAAAAUUGGUCUAAUUCUCGCUUAUACCUAAACUUGUACCUAUCACUAGCAUAAGUUAGUUUUACUUAUAUCCGAACUAUACGAAGCCUUAGGUUUUUCUCUAUGUAUGCACAUGUUUUUUCAUGAGUAAAUCAUGGCAUGAACCGGAGGAAAAAAAAAAUCUAAAAUAUGCGGAUACUACAAGAUGUGGCUCAAUCCAUGAUCAUUGCACCCACUAUAAGAAAAAUUAAUAUUAAAAAUAUUUUUUAUAUUUAAUGAUAUUUUAAUUUCAAUAUAAUUUAGGAUCACAUUUAAAAGUGUCAGUUAAAUUAUUAGCAAACGAAGAGUCAUCACGUAUAUACUAAUUACGUUUAUACCAAACAUCGAUAAAAUAUAUUCAGACACUCUAAAGCGUAAGAAUUUUUCAAAAUUUUUUAAAUUCUUUAUGUUUUUAAGUGUCGAAAAAUUAAAAAAAUAAUAAUAAAGUUUAUCAUGUAAUAAAUUGAUUUGAUACAAUAAAGAAUUCAUAUGGCGACGCUUUUAAAAGUGUCUAUAUUGUAGGAGUGCUUGGUGACGCUUUUUUCUAGUGUCAUCUAAAAAACAUCUU